rnacentral:rRNA from 1 species
AUGGGUACCGAGGAGUCUAAAGAUAUGCUGAAGAAUGCGGACUGGAAAACAGUGAGUGGUCCAGUGAUUACUGAGUCAAGCCAGCCAAUUGUUAAGAAGCGUCUUCCAAAGAAAAUCAGACAAGUCCCCGAGUGUUACUUUCUGCCCCGGCGAUCUCUACCUUCUGCAUUGGCAAUCUAUGGUGCUGUUUGUGCCGCUGGAGUUGGUGCAGGAAUGUUGCUUGAGGUUUGGAUAAACAAAAAGAUCAAAGAGGAUGGUGGCGUUGUCUGGGAGAUGGGCAAAUGA